rnacentral:rRNA from 1 species
GGGCAUGCGGCGUACUAGCAUGCAGUCGUACGUGCCCGCAAGGGCAAGUGGCGGACGGGUCAGUAAUACGAUCGAACGUACCCUGAGGUGGAGGAUAGCGGCGGGAAACUGCCGGUAAUACUCCAUGAUCUCUCCGGAGCAAAGGGCAACCGCCUUUGGAUCGGCGAUCGUCCUAUCAGCUAGUUGGCGGGGUAACGGCCCACCAAGGCGAUGACGGGUAGCAGGCGUGAGAGCAUGACCUGCGACAUCGGGACUGAGACACUGCCCGGACUCCUACGGGAGGCUGCAGCGACGAAUCUUCCGCAAUGGGCGCAAGCCUGACGGAGCGACGCCGCGUGUGGGAUGAAGCGCCUACGGCGUGUAAACCACUGUCAGGGGGCGGAACCAAUGAUCGCCCCCAAAGGAAGAGACGGCUAACCCUGUGCCAGCAGCCGCGGUAAGACAGGGGUCUCGAGCGUUAAUCGGAAUCACUGGGCUUAAAGGGUGCGUAGGCGGACCCGAACGCGUCCCGUGAAAUCCCCCGGCUCAACCGGGGAACUGCGGGGCGAACGGUGGGUCUCGAGGCAGGUAGGGGUCGCCGGAACCGUAGGUGGAGCGGUGAAAUGCGUAGAUAUCUACGGGAACGCCGAUGGUGAAGACGGGCGACUGGGCCUGUCCUGACGCUGAGGCACGAAAGCGUGGGGAGCAAACAGGAUUAGAUACCCUGGUAGUCCACGCCGUAAACGAUGCGCGCUAGAUCGGUGCGGCUCUGACGCCGUAUCGGUCGGAGUAAAAACGAUAAGCGCGCCGCCUGGGGAGUACGGUCGCAAGGCUAAAACUCAAAGGAAUUGACGG